rnacentral:misc_RNA from 1 species
AAGUCGUAACAAGGUCUCCGUUGGUGAACCAGCGGAGGGAUCAUUACCGAGUUUUCAACUCCCAAACCCACUGUGAACAUAUACCUUUGUUUUCGUUGCCUCGGCGGUUCGCGCCGCCGGGUGACACCUAAACCCUGAUUACAUUAAAGAAUUCUUCUGAGUAACCGAUUAAAUAAAUCAAAACUUUCAACAACGGAUCUCUUGGUUCUG